rnacentral:lncRNA from 1 species
CCUUUUUGGCAACCUUGUGCAAGAUAACCACUGUAUUUGAUGUUAAGUGUCUGAAGUGAUGUUUUCCGCAAGAAGUCUGGCAGUGUUUUUAGCUGAGGGCAGUACCCAAUCUGUAAAGAAGAAAGGCAUGGCAUUAUGGUAAUAUGAGAAUCCUCUUCCUUCCACUCUUCCACUCCUUUCCACUCUUCCCACUCCAGCAUCAACAGAAAUGUUAGUGUUUUCAAUUUUGGGAAUAGAGUAAUGCAUGAUGAUGCUGAUGACGUUUCCUUUUCUAUUCCCAGAAACUCAACUCCAACCUUUUUUACUCCUUUCAUACUACUAAGGAUCAGUGUUUCGAGGGACGGCAAUAUUCCCAAAGGAGGUAAAACUUCACAUUCAUUCCACCACACAAGAUCAAGAACUCUCAAAUUGUUUAAUGACAUGAUCCAAUUAGGGGCAGUGCUUCCAUUAUAGCCAUUGAUUCUUAAAUAUUCCAAAUUUGGAUGCGGUCGUAAGAAAUUCAAGAUAUUUCCGCCAGUUCCACACUCUCGACUCUAUACUCAAUUGUGUUGAGAGUUGGUUGGUUUGUUCCCCAGGGGGUGAGCGCUUUUUCUCAUGCAUUCACCCGCAAGCAAUCACAUCCCAAACAAACCAAUCUUCAGUGUACCCUGACGUUGGUCUAAGUUUUCAAAAUUCUCCAAUUUGAACGUUUCUCGUCGUUUUAGCACCGCCAACAGGGAACCCAUCUAGUCUUCUUAGAUUUGGUUAAUCUCCCAAUCCUUUCGGCAGUACUUCAACUCAUUGCAACUCAACAUUAAAGAUUGCCUUAGUUAGAUCAACUUUCCCAUGCUCUGAGGGUAAGACUUUCAAGUUCCCACACCAUCAAGGGGGCAAUGUCUGCAAAAUUGUAUAAAGUACAACCGCUUCGGUACUUUUUUCAACCUCUGUUUUCAGACAACAAUGAAUACUCAGAAUGCACCAAUUUCACCUAUCUCUUCCGGGAAGCACUUCAAUACAUUACUUUACUCAAAUUAUGUUCCUAGGAUGUUCACUUGUUGACCAUCAAAUUUGGAGUCACAACGGUGGAAUUCGCCAAAAGAUUGCAGAGUACGAUAUUAGUUUGCAGCUGGAAAAUGAAACAUGUGGAAAUUUGGAGCCUUGGGAGCAGCAAUAGUGGUUCAAAUGACGAAUCUAUCACCAAGGACUCUAUUGUAUGGUUGUACCAAUUUACCUUUGUACAAGCAUUUUCAUUGUUUUCUAAGUUUUAGAGCACGAAUAUCAUGCAUUUUUACACAUCCAGAUUUUUCCCAUCACGAUCUUUUUUAAAGUCUUGGGAAGAAGGAUCGCCAGAAUUUACUAAAUUAUUCAACAACUUUGGCAAUUAUUUUUUUCAUCUAUUUUUCCUUUCGAAUAGAGAUUAAUCUUGUUGGACAUCACAAUUCAGAUCAAAUGAUCUUUAGUCGAUCUCAUGAUUCUUUUAAAAUAGCACAAUACAAAAGGCAUUGUUUGACCAUAGUCCAAUUCAAAUAUCAAAGUAACAAUGGUUUUGAAAACUUGUUCCGCCAACUCUUUCAGCUCCCAUAUUCCUUACUACUUCAAAACGUCUUGCCAUUUCUUUCCUUUGUUUUCUUUUGUCACGCGUGAGACUACCCAGAGUCUUUGCAGCAAGAGGCAACCCUUGCACUUUUUUGAAAUUUUUCACAAUGUCUCCCACCACUUCCUUUUCCCUAUUUUAAAAAUUCCAUGUAGUUGAAUACGUUGACAAACAAUAUUGUUCCUCAAACGCUCUCCAAAUAGAUCGUGUGAGCGUAGCUACCAUCAUAUUCAAACAACCUUGUUAUUCGGCAGUGGGUCACUAAGUAUUUACGUGCGUCCGCGCCGCCACUUUGCAUAUCGCAAUUGCAUUUUUCCACCGUUUUGGUCUUUAUCCACACCAUCGUCUAAACAGGCAGAAAACUUUUUUUCCUUUUGACUUCAGAGCAUCUACACGAAACAAAAUCUUACCAAGUAUUUGAAUUGGAAUGACCCUUCGCGGCACAAGAAUGAUGGUUUUUGCAUUUUGUUGACAUCAAAAAGGGUCCGAACACAAAACCAUAUUUUUCUCCGGCUUUUAACCAUAAAAGCUAGUUAUAACGUUUUCUCAUAUCCUCAUCCAACAAUAGGGAUAAAGAAGGGAUCCCUUCUCUUCUUGACUACUUCAUUCAACAAUUGCUACCAAACUCUUUGUUGUUUCUCACCAAUAUGACGUUCAUCAACAAGAAUCAGUUUCGGACUCGCUCAGGUUGUUCAAUGAAAUUCUCUCCAUGGAUUUGAAAGUUAUAUGUUUGUCUGCGCUUACACAAUCUUUCAAAUCUUUUAUUCAGACGUUUUCUCUCACGAGCGCAUUUGAUUACGAAUUACCGUCUUGACUUGACCAAAAGAAAAAGCAGGAGGGAAUAGCAGAAACAUACCGCUUCUUCUUCUUUCUCGGUACAAAGAAGUACUUCCACGUGCUUCUUGUUUCUCAACUUGGUUGUUUCAAGUAUUUUGCAGUCUUCCACUCAUCCCACAUGUCCAUCUUGUUUAGGCACCUCUUCAGCUUCUCCAGCCAAUUUCUGACUCUGGUCUCUUUCACUUCAUCUCUCCGCAUCUCAGCAACAGCACGAUCGCUUUUAAGGUUGUCAGAUUUCUGCAACAUCUUUCUCCGGGUCAUUUCAGAACCAGCUUUCACCUUUUUCCCGAACUACUGGUUAAUUAUCGAGCCAGUUGUUGGAGAAGCACGGAGAUGCCUCAGGCCAUCUUUCGGUUAGCAGUGGGAUAACAGAGAAACCAAGAUCUGAAGUUGGAAGUGCAGGAUGGAGGGCUGUGUGUAUCACAUAUUGUUCUCCACCACUACUUGAGUUGGAGAUGUUGCUCAGGAUGGAUGUGACAACGACGAUAAUAGUGGUGGGUGGAGGAGGAGUCACCCGCACUCAUUUGUUAACUCACUUGUAUUAAGGCCAUGACAUUGGUUCCUCUUCCUUAUUACGAUGCAUCAAGUCAGGAUCCCACGAAUCAACAAAUUCAAUAAGGAUGAGCAGGAUUUCGCGAUCUAUCGAAAAUUGAUUCAUAGUAUAUCUUACUUUGUAAUACAUGUAUUGUUAUGUCAUAAUACAUGUAUUAUUACAGUUAUUCUUAGCUAUAUUUUUAAACACAUGUUCGAAUUUUAUCUACGUAUGUUAUCCGGAACACCUAUUUUAUUUUUUUUUUUUUUAUUUUUCACAUUUUUUGGACUGUUGAGAUUGCAGACAGAUUGAAGAGCUAUUUACGACAAAAAUUUAACAAAUGUAUGUAAGAAUGUUUAAAAACAAUAAAUAACGAUAUUUUCUUUAUUUAGAUUAGAGGAAAAUGACAGGUCUUUGCUAUGGUGUAUGGUUGACUUUUGUCAUUAUUUAAGUCCCUGUGGUUAACUGUUGUUUUGUAACUUAAAUUUAACAACAACAUAAAGCGGAGUAAGACAUAAAAACAAAACAAAACCUCUGUAAUUAAGAAUUAUUUCUCCUAAUUGUUCUGUGAGUAAAAGCACGGCUUCAAAUCUUCUUUGUCCAAGUAGUUAACCAUCUAACCUAACAGUGCUAAGUUCAAGUACCUCUCCACCCACCCACCCCGGCCACGUCAGCCACCCGACUUGGUCGCUGGCAACCCCUUCCUCCUCCUCGCCGUGGAGCACCAGCUCAUCUGAAGCCUAAAAGCAAGUACUCAAACAACUGGCUCUUAACGCAGUUAAGAAUUUGACAAAUUGUGUUUCUAGCACAACCAUUUAUUUAUUUUUUUUCAUUUUCCACUUUCUUUUUAAAUAAUAAUAUUUAAAACGUGUUUGAUAAAAUUUGACUUCAAUUUUUCUUAACAAAUAUUCAAUUUAAAAAAAAAAACAAAAACUAAAAACUAUAAGUAAAAAGAAGCUUUAAUGAAAAAUACUUCCCCAAACUUUUUCUUUAAAAAAACACCUAAUCACUUUAUUUAAUAAAAAGAACUUAUAUUUUAUUGAAAUAACAAAAAAUACGCACAAACAGGUCUAAGUGGUAAAAUCACGAGUCGGAAGCAAAGUCCAGUACGCUAUGUGCUGUCACAUCGUCUUGGGUGGAAUCUUUCACUCAUCACACACUUUAUUUCCUUUCUCUCUUUCCUACUUCUUUCUUCUUCCCUUUCUUUUUUGUCUUUUCCUCCUCUCACUCGUACGCUUCAUCAUUUUCACUUGACAAGUACUUUCGUUCUCUCACUUAAGGCUAAUUUAGCAGGACAAGGAUUGUCUGCCCUUCUACUUUCGGUGUCCUUCCAUGCCCUCUUGUUUUAUGUGAUCAUGGUUAAGCCACGUCAAUAUUUUAUAUUGCUAUUCAUUUUUGUCUUAUUAUCUCUAUAAAAAAAACAAUAUAAAAUGUUAACGUGGUUUAACUGUGACCACACAAAACAGGAAGGCACGAGAGGGCACUGUAAAUGGGAGAGCAGACAAUCAUUGUCCAAUUUAGCAUGGUUGUGUUUAAAAAAAUUAUUUUUAUUAUACGGUGAGAAUAAACACUUGUAAAAAAAAAUUGUUAAAUAUUUGGUAAACAUUUUUUGUAAAAGUGUUUUUAACAAAAAACAAAUAUUUGAGUGUGGUAAGCUUUUAUAAGCAACUGCUAAUAACUAAAAGGAUAUGGUAUUUGUUUGUACCAUACUUGACCAAUCCCGAAAUUACUGAGCACCGGUCAACGUUAUACCGUCAAGGACCCAGAAGAGUUUCCCUCCAACCAAGAGGCCAAUCACAAUGCGACACGUGUCGACAUCAGAAGCCAAUCACAGCGCGACACGUGUCAACAUCAGAAGCCAAUCACAACACGACACGUGUCAAUGUCAGAACAAAGCUAGAAACUCUUCUAUAAAAGGAGAUCAUUCUCCCACAAUAUUUUCUAAUGUCAUUUGUAUUAAAUCAUUCACUAGUACUCACCAAAUGAGAGCUUGAACCUAUGUACUUAUGUAAACCUUUCACAAUUAAUGAGAACUUCUCUACUCCGUGGACGUAGCCAAUCUGGGUGAACCACGUACAUCUUGUGUUUGCUUCCCUGUCCCUAUCCAUUUACAUACUUAUCCACACUAGUGACCGAAGCAAUCUAGCGAAGGUCGCAAACUUAACACUUUAUGUUGUACCAAAGUCCUCACUGAUUUUGUGCAUCAACAUUUGGCGCCGUCUGUGGGAACGACACUUAUUCCCACUCUCUUCAGCUUUGUCAAGCUGGUUUCCACCAUUCGUACACUCUCUUUUGACCAGGCAUCCCUUUCCAACAUGGCGAGGGGUUAUAACGUUUUCAAAGGUUUUUAUUAAAACUUUAUUUUCAGGCCUAUUCACCCUUGUUUUUCGCCCUUCCAGGUUCUAGUAGUAGAGUUUUCGUACCGAUGAGGAUUAUUGGCAAAUCUUGGUGUAAACAAUUACCAUCGAUGGUAUAAUUCUCACCAUAUUUUACAGUACUGUACUUAUGCUCUGUCAUCACAUGUGAAAUGGGUUUAUUCCCGCUCACAACGCAUUCUUGUAUUUAGGCACUUUUAGGUUUAUUCACAUUUUCCGCAUUACUACAUUUUAUGGCUUCGUCACCUUCCAGAUGUCGAUCAGCACAGCUUGAUUUGGAGUCCUAAUGGACAUUCCGGGUCGGGGUGUGUCAAUUUCCUUAGAAAAUAUAACCAAGGUGUUUAAGAAUUUAAUUGAUUAAAAGGGAUGAUAAUUAAUUAGUUGCCAUAAAAAAAGAGUUAAACACUCAAUUACAUUAUUCAAUACUUAUUUAUAAUAAAAUAAUAUAAAGUAUUAAGUUGGCAACUAAAAUACUGACGUAAUAAAAGUCAGACUUUGAUCAAAAGUUGAAAAACACAAGGUUUCAAUCAAAGUAAUGUCAUCACUAGAAGUGGGAGCCCUAUUUCGUCAUGAUAAAUAGAUUUACCUGCCACGAGUAGUCUAAUUAAGAAGUGCGUGCGACAGAGAGCCCGAAGCUACCAAGAAGAAGAUGACAUUCUACAAAAAUGUAUGUGUACCAUAACAAACAUGUACAGCAAUGCCUUAGAACAUAUUUGGAUACAUCGCAUAUUUGCACAUAAGAAAAAUUAUGUUCAUCGUAUUAUUCAUAUAUAUGCUACAACUAAUGUUCUUUUCCUUUGUUGAGGCUAGAAACCUAAAAUUAUGAAUUAAUAUGCAAUUGACACUAUGAUAACAAAGCUCUGAUUCUCAACACUACAACAAGAGAGUUAAGAUUCUCAUCAAUGAAAUGGUAUAUAUGUUGCAAAACUUAAUUCUUCGCUGAACAAUUGUAAAUUAACUUUCUGAUUCCUUUAAGUCCCUCGCAACAAUCCAACAAAGCUUUGUACCUACAACUUCCUCCGUUUAUUGGAUUUGGAUUCAGACUUGGCAUCAUGCACCGGAGAGUUCUGUCUUUUGUUGGAUUCACACUCGGCUGGCAUUGGAGACGGAAACUCCUCCUCUACACACAUCCCGCACACGAUGGCAGAAGAGUCAUUGACGUAAGUACAGCAAUCACAAGGCCAAUAAUCCCCACUCAUCUCCGAAAAAUCAUUCUCCAUCGCUGUUACAGUUCCGCUUUCUGAUUAAAACUCCAAACUUUUAUACAAAACUUGAAAUUUUACAUCAAACUUUUUGUGUGUAGGCUGACAAACUAGAACACUGGCUUGACUCUGUAAGCCUAUAUUCCUCCAAUUCAGUACUGUUUAGUUCUCUCCUCCGUGCUUAGUUUCGCUGUUUUCUCUGAGAAUCAUUUCACUGGAAAAGCAGACUACAAAAUUUAAAGCUGUACUACAAUGCAAACAAAGAAAUAUUCCAUGAGAAAUUCAUGAUCAUGCACAAUUUGCUUACACUUAUGAACCAGCAUUGUUUCGGUAGUUUCGUUGGUUUAUCCCCUCCCUCCCUUAAACAUCGUAUAGUCAUGUUUAAUUUGAUUAUGCAUAUUGUUACAUGAGCCAUAUUUACAGAUCAGGUUGUGUAAAAAUCCUUUUGAAAGGAUAGCAAUGCUAGAGGUAACUGAGCAAGUCAUGCUUUUCUCGUUGUCUGCUAGAUUAUCGACUUUAUGUUUUUGUUAUCUUUUCAUUAAAUUAAUUCAAACAACGAAAAUAGAAGAUAUCUGCUUCAACUAACUGUACUUCUCUAAACAACUUGAAUGCUGAUCCAAUAGGAAUAGGUCCUGGUCCUUUCUCUGGCCUAUUUCUAAUUUCUGGUCUUGCUUGUUCAUUGGCAUAUUUGGUUGUAAAUGCACGUAUAGUGGGUAAGCAUCUGCGAGAUUUGAGCUACACGCAACUACGAGCAAUGUUAUUCUACACAAAAAUGUGGAGAUAAUUAGCCUAGAGCAACCAAAAUUCUAAGCAUCAUCGCUCCAAUUAAGCAAAAUUGUAGCUCAGUCAAUGGUACACGACUGGUUGCCGUCGAAUGUGAAUUUAUUUCUUAAUUAUCUGUUAGCAUGGCUCUGUCACAUAUACAUCUGCUCACGUACAUCUCUUUCUGAGAUACAGGAAGUUGUAUUAAGGUCACCAUUUGUGUUGCAUUUUUGGUUCUGACUUCAACUGAAGACCUCAAACAAGUCCGGAGCUCUUUGCAUCUGUGCUUGAUAUUGGAACACUUUGAGAUGCUUGCUGAAAAAGGAAGCCCAUUUCGUUCAACCGAAAAGAGAAAUCCAUUUGGGCCUAAAUGAAACCUGAUUCGCAUCAGUCAUCAAUGACAAACAUUUGCUUUGAUUCUAAAAGAUUCGAAUCUCAGUAUUUGAGCACAAUGCCUCCACAAAUUGCCCUGAAAAAUGAAAAUGAUAAAAACACAUUUUUUAACAUCUCACUUAAUCAUGGCCGUUGCUUUAAAUUGAUUUAUUCAAUUUCAUAGUUAAAAAAAAAAGUGUGUAUAAGACUUAAAAAAAGUGUGCAAUUAUCUCUCGUUGCUUAAAAAUGCAAAUACAUUAUGGGGCAAUUAUAGUUUACUGUCUUGAAGUUUGCUUCAUAUAACUCCUCUUGCUUAAUGUCUAUCUUAUAUAAGCGAUAUUUCACAUUAAAUUAAUUUGAACAACGAAAAUAGAAGUUUAAACUUCGAUGUAUAGGAAGAACACAUUUAUUUAUCCAAUUUGACUAUGCCCAAGCCUUUAUUCUUUUUAGCCAUCAUGUUAAUCUUAGCAAAUUAUGGCGUGUAUUUUAAUGGUAUUGUUUAAUAAUGACGUGGCUUACUUGAGGUUCAGUUUUUGCAUAAUUAAAAUUGCUUGAACACAGCGUAGAUCAAAUAUUAAUAAAAAAAACUGACAUAAUUGUUAACUGUUAUCUGAUAAGGUAGAGAUGAUAAGUUUGUGUCAUUUUUUAGCGGGAUCGAGAUUAUGCUCCGUCCAUUAGAAAAGAGAAUGCUGAUUAUCACCCUGGUCGAAUAAAAAACAAAAAACCACAAGAGACCUCAGUGAAAAAUGUCGGAAUCAAUCAACAAUGGACAACAAUUAAAACUAUUUUUCUGUUAUAUCAUAUAUGAAAAUAUGAACAAUGAAAAUAUAUACAAAAUUAAUCCACAAUUGGGACAGAAAUUAGAAACUUUCAAACAAUUGCCAACGGCCCCGUUUUGAGAACCUCCCCUGCCUUCUGUGUCUGGCCACGCGCCAUUCAAAAACCCUAGCAAAAAUCUCAGAGAGCAGCACCAUCAACGUUUAUGUAUCCGUUACUCUGUCUGAGAUUCCAAAACGCUCCAUAAAACCCUAGUGAGAAACCCCAGUUCACCAAUCCAAUCCGGUCCAAUCCAUCGAUACUUUCUUAUGCACACAACAUGUUUGAUGAAUUGGCUCAAUUGAUAAAGCUUGCAUUUUAAUUGAAUUUGGGAAUUUUGUGCAGCCGCAAGUUGAUGUCAAUGGCUUCCCAGAAGAACCAAUUACUCAGCUCGCUGCAAACAGCGAAGGCACGUACAUUGUUGGUGGAGGCUCGUCGGGGAAUAUCUACAGGUGUUAGUUGCUUGGUAUUGUUGGAUGAUGGCUCCCUGCUGAUUUAGGGGUCGGAGGAUGGAGGCCUUAGAGUUUGGUCUCUUUAUAGGGUAACCAUUUCUUAUCAUAUAUUUUUGUAUCUUUAUAUUGUUUUUAACUAUGCACUAAAAAUGUCUUCUUUGCCAGUGGUAGAGAUGGCAAGAUAUACGUUGCUGCACUUAAUACUGAGAGCCUGCUUAACAGCAAGUAUGGGUUGCAUAUCAUCGAUUGUUUCUCGAAUCACAGGUUUCUCUCUUUUCCUAUAGGCAAUCUUUGAGUUUUCUUCAGUUACACUUCUCUAAUUUUUAACUGUGUAUUUUCGUUUUUCAAAGUAUGACUGCGAAAGAUUGUUGCACGUUUUAAGAACUCUGCAUUCUACAUUUAGUUAUGAUAGGCUUUGCAUUCUGGUGAACUGAAUCGAGGAACAUUCAUUUUAGCAUAUUUUGAAUUCUGGAUCAGAAGAUGGCGUGGUUUGAGUUUGGGAUGCUAGAACUCAUAAUAUUCGUCGCGUGUUAAAACACGCAAAAGGUUAUCUCAAUUCUAUUUGAAUUAUUUCCUUCCCCGGGUUUAUGCAUAUUUGAUGAUAUUGAAGCAAAUUUAGUUGUACUUGAUUAGCACUAUUUCAUAAUACAGUUUAUAUUCAAAUAUCUCAGUUGUUUAUGUUCAAUCUGCCAAACUUUACUAAUUUGUUUAGUAUUUACAUGAAAUUUGCACUGUACUUUGCAGGUCCAGUGAAUAAUAUUCUAGUUGUUCGACAGCAUUUUUCUGAGAAAUAUUGUUCUGACUUCAACUGAAGACCUCAAACAAGUCUGGAUCACUUUGCACUAUACUACACACACACAAUGGAGCUUUUGAUGUGCCUAUGUCCAGACCAUCUUCUUUCUCCCCGAAAGCAAUGGAAAAGACCAUUCUGGUGAACUCUGUAAUGCAGCAGCGAACCACCGUUCAUUAGCAGCACUCGCAACAGUCAAGCAGGUAGGAUUAACGAAAAAAACUUCAAAAGGUCAACGAAACAUGCAUGCAUAAACUAAACACCCCAACUAAUUUUGAGAUUACCUGUUUCUGCAUUCUUCCUUUUAGAUGAUUUUUGCACCCUGCCAAAGUCGGCUCUAAUGUAAUGGUUUCGGUUUAUUUCAGGCAACAUUUUUUGUACACCCUGUAACUGCUAGCAACUAAAUUAGACGACUGGAGGGUCUGCAAAAUUUUGUGACCAUAAACUAUUACUUUCUUACAUAUAAUUUUUGGUUUAAAGUUGCUUAUAGUCUCAAAUCCAAAGAUUUUAAAAUUAAAAUAAAACUAGAACAUUGCAAAUCACGAUAUUGAGAGAGGAGGAAUCGAACUCGGCACUUGGAAUAUGGCCUUAACCAAGUUACAAGUCCCUUGCAACAUUAUAUCUGCAGUUAUGCUUGUCUAGUUGGAAUCUUGUCUAGUUGGAUUGAUGUAAAAUGAAUAGAGUGAGUUGGUAAAUAAAUAGAAAGGAGCUUAAUUACCGGAAGUGGAAGGCCUCUCAUGCAACUAAACAACAUCCUCCGCUUCGACUAUGCCUUCGCCCUCAUCAUCAAAAUCAAAAUCAGAAUAUUCAGGCCUAAUUGCGAUGUUGGGGAUGUGAGAAAUCUUGGGCCACUCCUUUCCUCUGCCCUCUCGUCAACCUUGUGCAAGACACGGAGAGCCCUCGAUGUGAAGUCUCUUAAGUGGUGUUUUCCGCAAGAAGUCUGAUACUGUUUUUAGCCGAGGGCAGUUGUGAAUCACUAAAGAAGAAAGGCAUGACAUUAUGGUAAUAUGAGAAUCCUCUUCCUUCCACUCUUCUCAUCUUCCUUCCACUCUUCCACUCUGUUUGGAUUAAAAAUUGAUUUUUGGCCCAAGGAUGGAGUCGGCCCAAAAGGAGGCCUGGAGGAAUAGAAGAUCAAGGCUCGGCCGAAACUUGGGAAAGCAGGAAAUGGCCUUUUCUGACUUGAUACAAUUCAUAAGGGCCACUUGCCUACCUACCCAAGGACCAAGUGGUGUAGACUGAUCAGACUGCACAGCCCAUAAAGUACUUUAUGGUGGCAUUACAUGUAAUAAAGCUGAUGAGUCAUCACCCUCAGACCGCAUUCGGGCAAAGCUGUCGCUACAGGAGCCAAACCGAGUCGUCUAUAAAAGGAGGAAGAGAAGACAGGAAUAAGGACACUCAAUCAAACAAACAAAAGCACAAACUCUGCUCAAAAAGCCAGAUUUGCCUUUCAAAACGAAGCUGUAGUCAGCCCAAGCCUUCAUCCCCCGCGGGAUAAUCUUUUCUCCCAACCCCUGUAAUAGCUCUGCUACCUUGUUCGAACAAGUUGUAGUAUCGAUUCACCCUUUGUAUUCUCCUUUCCCCUCUCCCCCUCUAAGCUUUCAGACCUUUGACAGAACUACAAAGAUAGGGACCUGCAAGACGAUCAGCCUUAAUUGAUAAGGUUUAAUCUUGCCCGACCUGCUUUGCUCUGUCUUUGUCUUCUCUUUCUUUAAAGUCUAGCAAUAUGUUGUAUAUUUCCAGUUAUAUGCAAGUUGUUUCUAGUAAAAUCACAAUGACAAAGCGUUCUCAGUACUUGGAUCCGAUUUGAAUAUAUCUUUAGUGUUUAAAUCAGAUCCAAGUCCUAAGCCCUCAGGCAUGUAAAUCUGAUUAGCUUAAAAGUCCUUGGCCUCAAGGCAUAAAAAAGAACUUUAUGUGGAUUUAACCCAUCCACGACAAUCCUUGAUAAACGAGAAGUCCGAAGUUACUUGGGGCGCAAGUAAUCGACCUACCUCUUGGUUUUAUUUCUAUUAUAUCAUGAUUAUUAUAGAACGCUUAAGUAUAGAAUGGAUUCUGAUAGGAAGCCUCAAGGCCUAUACCUAAGGCCCCACAAAGGCACUUAUUUGGAUUUAUUCUAUUCUGCGGUCUAGAUGGUUUGAGUAUAAGAACAGAUUCUAAUGGGAAGCCUUAAUGCCUACACCUAAGGCCUCACAAAGGCACCUAUUUGGGUUCGCUCUACCUCUCAGACUCGGAUAAUCAGAAAUAUAAUAGUUAUAAGACCCCGACAACCAUAAAAACCAAAUAUAAUAUGCUCAAGCACUGGUUUAGUUUGACAGGAAGCCUCAAGGCCUAUACCUAAGGCCCCACAAAGGCACCUGUUAUAUCUAACACGGUUUCUCGGGCAUAUGCAUAUUCACAACUAAAACUUAACAUCUAUUCGACAUCUGCCAUAAUGAAGAUGGCAGUGGCACGCCUGAGCACCAAAAUGUUAACCUUGAUUGUGAGCCUCAAGGCCUACAUCUAAGGCCCCACAAAGGCACCUCUCAAAGUUAACGCUGUCCUUCUCUUUCAGCCUUGCCCGAAGAGUUUUGCCCGACGAGACUUGCCCGACAAAGCCCGACAGGAAAGCAGAAGCCCGACAGCAGCCCUCAACCGACGCCGAACCUCCAGGGGAGCUGUGUGCUCGUCGGCCAGGAAACACCCCCGACGGGAAUUCCUGCCGCGAACAUAGUUUUCAUGCCCGGUGGGAUUUCUAAUCAGAAGAUAGAGAAAUAGAUAUGCCAGAAGACUUACAGACCACGUUGUCUCAAAUGCUGCAAAGAUUGGAGAAAGCCUCCACAGGCUCUAGAAGUGAUAUAGAUGUGGUUCCUCCCAAAGGAAAAAGACGUAGAAACAGCCAGCCAGACGAGAUGGACGUAAUCAACCCUGCAUUUCCCUUCUCAGAGGCCCCUAUAAAUAUGCUCAAUAUGACAUGGGCGGAGAAAGGAAAAGGGAAGAUUACAAGGGAAGAAGAAGAAAGACUGGCUGAAAAACCUACAGAGAAAAUAAUCAGACUGCCCGAGUAUCCAAAGGCUGCCAUAAUCAAGGGGAUGGUCAUGUGCAGUAAAUGCCAGUGUGAAUGUGAGCUUGAGAUUCCCUCGGCUGGAGUCCUAAUUGAUCACGAGUUAAUCAGGAGGAAGGAAGAAGAUACAAGAAGAGAAGCCCGCGAAAAGAGUAAGCAGGCAACAAAGAAAGAUACUGCCCGAAGUGUUUUUAAGCGCUUAAGAGGUGAUUCCCAACCCAAGGCUUUGUCAGAAGUGUUUCGAAACCAUGAAGCUUCUGACGAGGCAGAAACGGAGGCCAAAAUCCAGAGAGGUGCAUAUCAUCUUCAGAAUGGCCAGAUGAGAGGGGAAGUCAAGAGAACUGAUGGGAUAGCUAAUCCCGGCAGAAAAGGGAAUCCUGCCCACCUCGGGCGAAAAUGGUAUGUAGUCGGGAAGAAUGGACAGCCUACCAAACCAAUGGGAGCCUCUAUGAUUAGGAGGGUUCAAAGGCAGCACAAGGCCUACAUGAAUUCCUUGAAGACCCCCACUACCUCUGAAACCUCAAAAAAUCAAAAGUUGGAAAAAGUAACAUCUGGAGGUAGUAGCCAGCUCCGUUGGCAAAAUAAGAAGGAGGUAGAGAAAACCAAUAGCAAAGCAGAGGGGGUAGGGGAUCAUGUGCCGCAGAGCCAACAUCCUGGGAAGUAUAGGAUCUUGAGAAGAGCUCAAGAAGAUCUGAUCAUGGUACGAACUCCUGGGUGGAAGCCGGAGUCUAUUCACAUGGGAACUGUUGCAAGACCGCUUUCUCUGCCAUUGGUGGAUCCCUUUGGUGAAGUUACAAAACAAACGCUGUAUGAGGGCAUGGAUCAACCCCAACAGGAAGGGAUACCAGAACCACUACUUCCAGCCGAUGCGAUGGCCUGGUUAGAUGAAUUCAUGGACCAAAUUGGGAGCAAGAAGGAAGAUGUACUCGAGCCCAGUAAUUUCCACAUCAACAUGGCGUAUGUAUUAUACGCCACGUUUGGUGCCAAACCUGAUCAGCCUGCUACUAUGGAGGGUGAUUACUUAACAACGGAGCCAAUGAUGGCACAAGUCAAUGUGGAGAUAGCAGAAGAAGAAGACUCGGGCAAGGCUGAGCCCUCAGAAGCAUCCAAAGGUGGUCCUAUAAGGAUUUAUACAGACGAGAUGGUGUUCAGUCGCCCGAGUAUUUCGUUGGCCAACCAUCUGAAGCCUAUAUAUGUUUCAGCUCACUUAGAAGGUGUGCCCUUCAAAAGAAUUUUAAUUGAUGGAGGAGCAGCUGUUAACGUGUUACCGGCCAAGCAGAUGAGGAAGAUGGGGAGAGGUAUGGAAGAUCUUAUUCCCACAGAUCUUACGGUCUCUAGCUUCUCAGGUGCUAUCACUAAGACUCAUGGGAUAUUACCUUUGGAGGUGGAUUUAGGAUCCAAAAAGAUAAUGCUGGCAUUCUUUGUGGUGGACUGCACUUCCACUUACGGAGCCUUACUAGGAAGAGAUUGGAUCCAUCAAAGUUUAGCCAUACCUUCCACUCUUCAUCAACAAGUGGCUGUAUAUCAUGAGGCGGGUAUUGAAGGACCAGGCUUUUGGGAGAUAGUAGAGGCCGAAACACGGCCGUUCCUCCCCUCAGCCAAUGUUGCUGAAGCAAGUUUCUACAAUCCCAACGUAGGAAUCUUGAAAUGUUCAGGAGCUGAUAAGAAUGGCCGCCCUACCAAGGUGACGGCCCAAAAGCUUCUGGAACAAGGAAUGCUCCUUACCAAGGAGGAGUGGGAUAGACCCUGCCUCAUACCAAAUUCCCUACACCAUCAAUGACUGAACAAAAGAAGAAAGAUUAGGUCAUGGCAGUCAGAUCCCAGAUUAAAAGACUGUUGGUAUAUGGGAAGGGAAGAAGACAAGAAAGGGAGCAGGAAGAGCAAGAAUGGCAGGAAGAAGCUUCAACCAGCCAGCAUGGAGAUGGAGAGGAAUCUUGUAGUGAAGAACUGGAUAGGGCCAUUCAAGUGGCCGAGUGCAUAUAUGAUCUAGAUGGACCAGACGACUUGCCCGAGAGCCCAGAGUUGGUCGAGUUUUUAUGUGCAGAACCUGACAAGCCAUCACCCGAAGUUCAGGAUCCUUUGGAAGUUAUUGAGCUAGGCACAGAGGAGGAUCCAAGACCAAUACAGAUCAGUGGUUUAUUAGGGGUUGAUGAUCGGGCAAAAAUUAUUUGUCUUUUGCAAGAAUUCAAAGACUGUUUUGCUUGGCAUUAUACCGAGAUGCCAGGGUUAGAUUCAACCUUGGUGGAACAUAGAAUGCCCAUCAAGGAAGGAUAUAAACCGGUCAAGCAAGCACCACGGAGGAUGUCAAAUGAGAUAGAAGAAAAGGUCAAAGAAGAGAUUGAGAGGCUAGUGAAAGCUGGCUUUAUCAGACCAGCCAAAUAUGUGGAGUGGUUGGCCAACAUCGUACCCCUUUUAAAAGCUGUAACAAAAUCAGUACGAUGUUGUGUCGAUUACAGAAAUAUUAAUGGCGCUACAUCAAAGGAUGAGUACCCCAUGCCCAUGGCUGAUUUGUCCAUAGAUGCAGUAGCAAAGCAUAAAGUUUUAUCUUUUAUGGAUGGAAAUGCCGGAUAUAAUCAGAUAAAGAUGGCUCCAGAUGAUAUUCAUAAACAGCUUUUAGGUGUCCUGAUCAUGUGGGGGCAUAUGAGUAUCUGGUCAUGCCAUCCGGGCUCAAGAAUGCUGGCGCAACAUAUCAAAGGGCAAUGAAUGCUAUUUUUCAUGAUCUAAUUGGUCAGAACAUGGAGGUAUAUAUCGACGACAUCGUGGUGAAAUCUAAAACAGAAGAGCAGCAUCUAGUAGAUCUCAGGCAAGCAUUAAUAAGGAUGCGGAUCCACAAAUUGAAGAUGAAUCCAAAGAAGUGCGCAUUUGGAGUAAGAGCGGGCAACUUCUUGGGAUUCUUGGUGCAUCAGAGAGGUGUGGAGGUGGACAAGAACAAGUCUCGGGCAAUAUUGGAGUCACCUCCACCCACCAACAAAGUGCAGCUUCAAAGGUUACUAGGCAAGAUCAACUUCUUGAGGAGAUUCAUUGCCAAUUUAGCGGGCAAAAUCCAGCCGCUAACUCCUCUACUAAGAUUGAAAGAUAAAGAGAAUUUCGAGUGGGGGCCGACCCACCAGCAGGCAUUUGACAACAUCAAGGCCUACCUAACUUCUCCACCAGUGCUGGUACCACCUCAAAGGGGAAAGCCCUUAAAGCUGUAUAUUUCUGCUUCGGAAAAAUCAAUUGGGAGUUUGCUAGCUCAAAAUAAUGAAGGGGGAAAGGAGCAGGCCGUAUACUACCUCAACAGAAUUUUGACCGAGGUAGAAACAAGAUAUUCUCCGGUGGAGAGAUUGUGUUUGGCUCUAUAUUUUACUGCCAGCAAGCUAAGGCAUUAUAUGUUACCUUGUCACGUGCACAUCAUUGCCAAAGCAGAUGUGAUAAAGUACAUGUUGUCAAAACCUAUGCUAGCAGGAAGGAUUGGGAAGUGGAUUCUAGCACUGUCAGAAUUCAGCUUUCAAUAUGUACCCCAAAGGGCAGUCAAAGGCCAGGCAAUUGCUGACUUCUUGACCGAGCAUCAAGAACCUCAAAGUGAGGUAAUCAAUAUCCCGGGAAGUUUGGAGGUUACUAGCGUUUGGAUCCCAUCAAGAAGUGAUGUUUCGGGCAAAGAAGAUUGGAUCCAGCAAGAGAUAAGAAGAGUAACGGUCCUCUGGAUUACUCCUUGGAAGCUGUAUUUCGAUGGAUCCCACACUCAGAAGGCUGCUGGGGUUGGGAUUGCGAUUAUGAAUCCUCAAGGGGUUUGUCAUUAUUACUCAUUCCUGCUCGAUUACCAAGAAAAUACUAAUAAUCGGGCAGAGUAUGAGGCAUUGAUUAUUGGUCUAGAAAUCCUGUUGGAUUUGGGGGCAGCAGAAGUAGAAGUCUUUGGUGAUUCAGAGUUGGUAAUAAACCAGCUAAAUGGCGAGUUCAAGUGCAGACAUAUCACUAUGGCGGGGUAUUAUAUGGCAGCAACACAAUUAUUGAGUUUCUGGGAGUCGGAGAUAUCAGUCAAUCAUAUUCCUAGGGGGUCUAACUUAGCAGCCAAUGAAAUGGCGCAACUAGCCUCAGGAGUGCCAAUACAGGAGAGGAAGUAUGGAAUAGAUGUCGAGAUCCAAACAAGAAACCUUCCUUCCAUCUUAGACAUGGGAUUUAGUUUGGAUGUAAUGGUUCUAGAAACCAAGAUGGAAGAUUGGAGGGUACCCAUCAUUCAUCAUUUGAAGGAUCCCUCUUCACCUACAAGUAAGAAGAAUAGGCAGCAAGCGACCAAAUAUGUCUUAUGGGCGAAGAACCUGCUAAGAAAAACCCCAGAUGGAUUACUGUUAAAAUGCUUAGACCAAGAAGAAUCCAUGAGAGUGAUGGCUGAAGUACAUGAGGGAAUAUGUGGAGCACAUCAAGUAGGGACAAAGAUGAGAUGGCUACUUAGAAGGUACGGUUAUUUCUGGCCCGACAUGGAAAAAGACUGCAAGUCUUAUGCCCGCGGUUGUGAAGAAUGUCAGAGGCAUGGACCUCUCCAGCACAUGCCUUCAAUGCCUUUGAAUCCAGUGGUCAAGCCUUGGCCGUUCCGAGGAUGGGCGAUGGACUUCAUCGGGCAAAUUUAUCCAGCUUCUAGUAAAGGGCAUACUUUUAUAAUUGUAGCAACGGAUUACUUCACCAAGUGGGUGGAGGCAUCAGCAGUAAAAUCCAUAACUUCCGCCGUAGUCCAGAAUUUUAUCGAGACCAAAAUCCUGCACAGAUAUGGGGUGCCCGAGACUAUAGUGACGGACCGUGGGCCAUCUUUUAUUUCAAAAGAAGUCGAGGAGUUCGCAAGCAAGUACAAGAUAAAGAUGAUCCAAUCCAGUCCGUACUACCCUCAGUCAAAUGGGCAGGCUGAAGCUAGUAACAAGAUCCUGGUCAACAUUAUUAAAAGAAUGGUGAUAGAUAGUCCAGAAAAGUGGCACAAGAUGCUGGGGAAUACGUUGUGGGCAUACAAGACUUCUAAAAGAGCGGGAACAGGCACAACGCCUUAUGCCUUGACGUUCGGGCAAGAUGCAAUGCUCCCCAUGGAGAUCAACGUUAGUUCCGUAAGAAUUCAAAACCAAUUUGGGUUACAUAGUGUAGAAUAUAUCGAAGCCAUGUGUCAAGGUAUUGAAGACCUGGAUGCAGCCCGAAUUGAAACCUUGAACCAGAUUCAAGAAGGAAAGAUAGCUGUUGCCCGAGCUUAUAACAAGAAGGUGAAGGUAAAGUCUUUCAAAGAAGGAGAUUUAGUAUGGAAAACAGUCCUCCCGCUGGGAGCUCAGCUUCGGGGUUUUGGAAAGUGGAGCCCGACAUGGGAAGGUCCUUUCAUUAUUAGUCGAGUCUUAAAUAAAGGACGAUACUAUCUAGCGGACCUCGAAGGAAAUGGGCAGAAACAUCCCAUUAAUGUUAGAUUCUUGAAAAAUAUUGUCCUACAUUAUGGGAUGUUAAGGAUUGUUACAUUGAAGAGGGGGCAGAGUGAAACAAGCUUCGGGAGUCUCAUAUGCAGUGUUUUUGUUCAUCAAACAUUCAAAAAAGGCAGAAAGACAGAAAUUGCUAAAAUAGUAUUUAUUUCAUGUCGAUAAAUUGAUGAAAUUUACAGAGUUCCAGUCCUAUGUGUUACAUUUGAUUCUCUCUGAGUAUGAUGGUGUCUUCAGCUGGUUUCCCGAUGUCUUUAUGGAUGGAACCCAAUCGGGUGAUCGGGUUGUGCGGCCAACAUGGGCCUGGUAGAGGAUCCUCCGACGGGGCUGUCACCAUAUAUGAUGGUGAAGCCCAACUUAUCGCCGCAGCUUGCGGGAAGAUAAACCAUCAAGAGGAAGCCGCCUGACCAAGGGUGUUGGAGAUAGAGGGGCGGUUGACCAAGGGUGUUGGAAAUAGCAGUCAUCAGGUGAAACCUCAUUUUCUCGCGAAAGGGGAGUUUUAGGAAACUCCACUCAAAACCUGAGGAACCCAUUUCUCAGUUUCUAAGAGGAGACAAGAACGCUCAAGAUGGAUGGAAGUUGAAGGCCAGAGCCAAAGGGGAUUUGGUAGUUUGAUAAGAGAAGUCCCGAGCUAGAUUUUAUAGGGCCCAAAGGACAGUUCAAGAGUCGUGAGAAGAGCAAGGGGCACCAGAAACACAAAUUCCCAAUGACGGAUAUGCAUGCAUGCGGGUAUUCAAUCAAUGUCGACGCCUGGGAUUCCAACCUUCACAUUAAUUGAAGGGGGCACUGUUUGGAUUAAAAAUUGAUUUUUGGCCCAAGGAUGGAGUCGGCCCAAAAGGAGGCCUGGAGGAAUAGAAGAUCAAGGCCCGGCCGAAACUUGGGAAAGCAGGAAAUGGCCUUUUCUGACUUGAUACAAUUCAUAAGGGCCACUUGCCUACCUACCCAAGGACCAAGUGGUGUAGACUGAUCAGACUGCACAGCCCAUAAAGUACUUUAUGGUGGCAUUACAUGUAAUAAAGUUGAUGAGUCAUCACCCUCAGACCGCAUUCAGGCAAAGCUGUCGCUACAGGAGCCAAACCGAGUCGUCUAUAAAAGGAGGAAGAGAAGACAGGAAUAAGGACACUCAAUCAAACAAACAAAAGCACAAACUCUGCUCAAAAAGCCAGAUUUGCCUUUCAAAACGAAGCUGUAGUCAGCCCAAGCCUUCAUCUCCCGCGGGAUAAUCUUUUCUCCCAACCCCUGUAAUAGCUCUGCUACCUUGUUCGAACAAGUUGUAGUAUCGAUUCACCCUUUGUAUUCUCCUUUCCCCUCUCCCCUUCUAAACUUUCAGACAUUUGACAGAACUACAAAGAUAGGGACCUGCAAGACGAUCAGCCUUAAUUGAUAAGGUUUAAUCUUGCCCGACCUGCUUUGCUCUGUCUUUGUCUUCUCUUUCUUUAAAGUCUAGCAAUAUGUUGUAUAUUUCCAGUUAUAUGCAAGUUGUUUCUAGUAAAAUCACAAUGACAAAGCGUUCUCAGUACUUGGAUCCGAUUUGAAUAUAUCUUUAGUGUUUAAAUCAGAUCCAAGUCCUAAGCCCUCAGGCAUGUAAAUCUGAUUAGCUUAAAAGUCCUUGGCCUCAAGGCAUAAAAAAGAACUUUAUGUGGAUUUAACCCAUCCACGACAAUCCUUGAUAAACGAGAAGUCCGAAGUUACUUGGGGCGCAAGUAAUCGACCUACCUCUUGGUUUUAUUUCUAUUAUAUCAUGAUUAUUAUAGAACGCUUAAGUAUAGAAUGAAUUCUGAUAGGAAGCCUCAAGGCCUAUACCUAAGGCCCCACAAAGGCACUUAUUUGGAUUUAUUCUAUUCUGCGGUCUAGAUGGUUUGAGUAUAAGAACGGAUUCUAAUGGGAAGCCUCAAGGCCUACACCUAAGGCCUCACAAAGGCACCUAUUUGGGUUCGCUCUACCUCUCAGACUCGGAUAAUCAGAAAUAUAAUAGUUAUAAGACCUCGACAACCAUAAAAACCAAAUAUAAUAUGCUCAAGCACUGGUUUAGUUUGACAGGAAGCCUCAAGGCCUAUACCUAAGGCCCCACAAAGGCACCUGUUAUAUCUAACACGGUUUCUCGGGCAUAUGCAUAUUCACAACUAAAACUUAACAUCUAUUCGACAUCUGCCAUAAUGAAGAUGGCAGUGGCACGCCUGAGCACCAAAAUGUUAACCUUGAUUGUGAGCCUCAAGGCCUACAUCUAAGGCCCCACAAAGGCACCUCUCAAAGUUAAUGCUGUCCUUCUCUUUCAGCCUUGCCCGAAGAGUUUUGCCCGACGAGACUUGCCCGACAAAGCCCGACAGGAAAGCAGAAGCCCGACAGCAGCCCUCAACCGACGCCGAACCUCCAGGGGAGCUGUGUGCUCGUCGGCCAGGAAACACCCCCGACGGGAAUUCCUGCCGGGAACACACUCCUUUCCACUCUUCCCACGCAUCCAUUCCCCAAAAUGUGAGUUUUUUCAAUUUUGGGAAUAUAAUGCAUGAUGAUGCUGAUGACGUUUCCUUUUAUAUUCCCAGAAACUCAACUCCACCCUUUUUUACUCCUUUCAUAUGCCAAAGCUUCAGUCUUUCGAGGGAUAGUGGAUUAUUGGGUGAGCUUCUACUGCUCCGAGGAAAUACUCCAGUUACACUGACUGUUGAGGAAUCUCGUUAAAAUCUUGGUGUUCUUUUCUAUUUUGUUAUUGCAUUUCAUUUGAUAUAUUUCAUGUGGGUUAGCUUGAGUUGGUUCCAAUUGGUUUGGUGCUAUCCUAGUACAACAAUUGGUAUCAGAGCACUGAUUGCUCUUGGGUAUCGUCUAGUUGCUAAAGAUGUCAGACGGGCAAGAAGAGAAUCUUUUUGGAAGCAGCUCUGGGUUUGCAAGAACUACGGUGUAAAAUGCAAAGUUUGAAGUAGAAAAGUUUGAUGGCACAAACAACUUCGGGAUGUGGCAAUAUGAGGUCAAAGAUGUGUUGGCUCAACAAGAUCUACUUGCCGCUUUGGGAGAUAAGCCGGAAGCUAUGUCGAAGUCGGAAUGAGAGAAAUUAAAUUUUUGGGCUUGCUCUACAAUUCGGUUCUACCUUGCAAAAACUCAGAAGUAUUUUGUGAUGCGGGAGACAUUGACAAAUGUGUUGUGGUAAAAAUUAAAAGACAAGGACAUGAUGAAGAGUGCGGAGAACCGGCUACACUUGAAAAAAAAGCUCUACUGUUUCCAAUACAAAAAAGGUACAAAAUGAUUAGACACAUUGAUGCUUUUAAUAAGUUGAUUGCCGAUUUGAUGAAUUUAGAUGAGGAUAUUAAGGAUGAAGAUAAUGCUUUAAUAUUAUUGAAUUCUUUGCCGGAUUCUUAUGAGCAUUUUGAUACCAUUAUUAUGCAUAGUAAAGAAAUUGUGAAAUUUGAAGACGUGUCGAAUGCCUUGAUGAAUUGUGAAAUGAGGUAUAUAGAUAAAAAUCAUGAUAAUACCUCUGAGGCUUUGUUUGUUAGAGGUAGAUCAUCAGAGAGGAGAUCUUUCUCUAAUAAGAAAAAAUCACUUUCUCGACCUAGAGGAACUUCUAAAGGUAGAAAAAGUUUGGAAAGGGAUGAAUGUUCUUUUUGUCAGAAUAAAAGCCAUUGGAAGAGAGAUUGUCCUAGGUUGAAGACCAAAGACAAAGUGAGUUCUGAAGCUAAUGUUGCUAAGCUUGAAAAUGAUUUGAUUGUGCUACUAAGUGGGUGUUGGAUACGGGUUGUACUCAUCAUAUGACUCCUUACAAGGAUUGGUUUUCAAGCUUGAAAGAGUUUGAUGGUGAUGUUGUUUUCAUGGGAGAUGACAAUCCUUUUAUAACAAAAAGGAUCAGUACAGUUCGUUUGAAAUUGCAUGAUGGCAUGGUUAAAAAGUUGACAGGUGUUUGGUAUGUACCGAAUUUGAAGAAAAAUCUUAUUUCUUUAGGCACUUUAGAAUCCAAGGGCUUGAGGUUUCAUUCAGAUGGGUAGACAUUGAAAGUUACUUAUGGUGCACUUGUUGUGAUAAAAGCUCAUCGAUGUGGUCAUUUGUAUAUAUUACAAGGAAGCACCGUGACAGGUGAAACAUCUGUAGUCUCAGAAAAUAUGGGCACAUCUGAUUCAGAUACUACUAGACUAUGGCAUAUGAGAUUAGGCCAUGCCGGUAAGAGAGCUCUACAAGGGCUUGUGAAACAAGGUCUUCUAAAAGGUGUCACGACUUGUAAGCUUGAUUUUUGCGAGUAUUGUGUCUUGGGGAAGCAAACUAGAGUGAAGUUUGGUACUGCAGUACAUUAAACGAAGGGUAUUCUUGAUUAUGUGCAUUCGAACGUUUGGGGUUCUAUAAAGAUUCCCUCUUUGAGUGGUAGACAUUGGUUCGUGACAUUUGUUGACGAUUAUUCUAGAAGGUCUUGGGUCUACUCUAUGAAGCUUAAGAGUGAGGCGUUGAGCAUUUUCUUGAGUUGGAAGAAAAUGGUUAAGAACUAGACUGGGAGAAAGAUUAAGAUUUUGAGAUCGAAUAAUGGUGGUGAAUACACAUUCGACCAUUUCUUUAAAGUUUGCAAAGAGGAAGGAGUUGUGAGACAUUUCAGUGUUAGGGGCAGUCCACAACAAAAUGGAGUUGCAGAAAGAUUGAAUCAAACCUUGCUUGAGAAGGUUAGAUGUAUGCUGUCUCAGUCUGAUUUGAGCAAGUCAUUUUGGGCAGAGGCAAUUACUUAUGCAUGUCACAUCAUUAAUCGGUUACCCUCAACUGCUGUUCAGGGUAAGACACCAGUGGAGGUAUGGACUGGAAAACCUUCUAUUGAUUAUGAUUAUAUUCGUAUUUUUUGUUCACCUGCUUAUUUUCAUGUAACUGAAAAUAAACUUGAUCCUAGAGCCAAAAAGCUAUAUUUCUUGGUUUUAGUAGUGGUGUCAAAGGUUACAGGUUGUUGUUGGGUUUUUGGCUCAAAAUUAGGAUGAUGCAAUAAAUUAGGUUUGUGUUACCUAUUUGGUUUUGGUGUCCUAUUUGGGUUUAGUUUUGACUUCUUAGUUAGUUUCCUUGGUGGAGAGAUUUUGUUAAUUACCUAUUUGAUUAGGAUUUAGAUUUAUUUCCUAUUAUGAUUCAUAUUGUAACCUAAGUCCUAUGCACUAUAAAUAGGACCUUAGGGUUAGUGUAUUUAGUGUGGCUCAUUCGUGUGGCAAUUUGGUGAGAGUCAAUUUGUGAGUUUGUGAGUUAGAGAGCAAUUUGGAAGAAUCUUCUCCUUUUGUUUUGAGUUCUCUACUCGUUUGGUUUAGGGUUUGUAAUUUGUGGGAUUUAGGUUGUGAGAGUUUAAACACUCUUUUGUAAUCUCCAUUUGUUUAGUGAAAUUCCUUGCCGUGCUUUGUCCGUGGAGUAGGCUUUACGCCGAAUCACUUAAAUCUUGUGUUAGUUUGAGAUUGUUUGUUUUAGCUUUCACCUGCAACGUUGAUAUUUGGUACUUUGUUAUAAUUCACUUCCGUUUGCGCAUAAAAGUACAACAGUUGUGGUGCCCAGAGAUGGAGAAACUUGUAAUCAGCAAAGAUGUGACGUUUGAUGAAGAAAGUAUGUUAAAAGACUCUGAGAAGAAUGUGAAAGAUGUCCAACAAGUGGAGCUUGAGAAAGUUGCUUUUAGUACUUCAAAUCCUAUUUCCAUUGAUGUCGAAGCCACUACAAGUGAAGAAUAAUGUUUCAACUACACUCAAACUACAUCGCACAUGAUAAUUUUUUUAGAGAUGUUAUUUUUUAAAACUGCAAAAUGCAUCGUAGGGUUUCAAUUAACCCUAGACUUGUUAUUCUACCUUAAUUGGCAGUACUUAAGUUCUAUAUAGUGCAGUGUUGUGUACAAGGGAGGAAUUUCUCAAAGUCUUGAACUUGGCUAGCAUUGAUGUACCCUCCGUUAAGCUUUGGCUUGAUAGGAAGGUGAGUGCAGCGAAAGUCUUUAACAUAACUUCCUUAUCUUAACUGCUUUUUGAUGUAACAUUUAGGGUUGGUUUGGUAUUGCUGUGCUUUGAAAAAAACUGCUUCUGCUUCUGCUGGCUGUCAAGGUUGGGACUUUGUCUUAGUGAAUAAGAGUAACACUAAGAUUCCAUACACUAUCAAUCUGAUAUAACAGGAGAAAUAAAAGCUAGCUCUAUAAGGCAUUUUUUUUUUUAGGAAAACUAAUGAAAAGGGCUUGAAAACUUUGAGUUUUAAUGAUAAGGACAAAAUAAAGGGUAAAGUGAAUAGUACCAGGUUUGACUUUUUAGUGUUAAAAUGUGGUUUUUCGUUAAAGUGAACAGUACCGUGGGCUUUUCAUUAAAACUCCCUUCUUUUUUUUUCAUUUCAGUUUGUUUUUUAAAUCAGUUGUCAAUGCUAUUUUCUUUUUACUAAUGUGUGUUUUUUGUUUUUAAUAGUAUACGAACAUAAAAAAGCCUCAAAACCUCCAAAGAAACAGCAAGAUCUUUAAACAAAAUCACAAGACAGAAACUCUUUCGAAAAUUUCUGUGAGUAGAGUCAUUCAAUUGCUUAGGCUCCUUUCCUCCUUCAACAAAGCAUCUAGGUAUUUUUCCACAUUUUACUCUACUCAGAUUCAAUCUUUGAGAUUUCCCAAUUAUUUUACAAUGGUGUAUUCUGGAAAGUAAUCCUAAGAUUCAACAAUAUUGUUUUAUUAAUCGUUUGGUUGCUCUUAAAUUGCAGCUUUUGUGUGGAGUAUUUUGGGUUUUUUGUUUCUUCCUUUAUUUUUUGUUGGAAGCACUGUUCUACUCAUGCUAGUUAUAUAUUAUACAUAUACAAAAACCCAGUUUGGCUGCACUGUUUUUCACUGUUUGUGAACAGUAAAAUGGCGGUAAUGCCCUUAUUUGCUUCUCUGUUCUCCGUUGUUUUCCCUCCUUGGUACAGUAGAAUUACUUAUUUGUUUGCCCACGCGUCCAUCAUCAUUGAAUUGAAGAUACUUAUUCUCGACUCUUCUCAGUCAUUCCACUCUCUCUCAUCUAAUCCAAAAGAUUAGAUCGCAGGUUCUCAAACUCUCUCUCUUUCUCGCAUCGCCACCAUCAGCCGUUGCAGCUGCUCGAAGGCUAGGUCUCCAAAGGGGUCGUUUUGUAAAACGCUCUCUACUUAAGGCAAGUAAUUUGAAGUUUUGGUCCUGUUUUCAAUUAUUAGGCCUAAUCGGAUAAAUGGUCCCCGUGAUCAUAAGGUAUUCGGAAGAUAGCCUCUGUGGUAAAAAAAUUCAAACUUAAACCCCUGUGGUCUAAGUUUGUUAGGAUUUAUACCCUUCUGUCAUUCAUUCGUUAAGCUUGACAAGUCAUUCCCUUUCAAGUUCAGCACUUUUCGGCCACCUCCCAAGCCCACACCCUUCAAAUCCCUCAAAUGCAUCCAAACGCCACCGUCUUCCUAUCCUAACCCAUUAAAUCACUCUUGUUCUCCCCUCUCAACCGUCUCUCUGCUCUGCCAAAACCUUCGCCGCUACUCCGUCUAUUGCCUCCACCAGUGGACCACCACCCCUCUCUCACCCUAAUUUUUUCUUCCUCUCUCCCACUCUCUCUCACUCUAGAACUCACAUAAUACACAGACGAUGUAGAGGCAACUGCUGAAGAAGCUCAGACUGGAACCUCCCAAUGGACUCACCCAAUUCAACCAACGAGUCCGUACACAUUUCUCACUUUCCCAAGCUUACAUUCCCGCCGUUUGAUGACUCGAGUUGGGUUGAUUUAAACCGGGUCAUUGGCUGUAGCGCCCGGGUGUGGCUGUGGGCCGAGAUGGACGAGGAGGGCAAUAUGAGAUUCGCAGCUGACAUCGAUUCCGAGAUCACCAGGGGCUUCUGCUCCUGCCUACUUUUCGUGGUCGACAGCGCGUCGCCGGAUGAGGUGUUGCGGGUCAAGACCGAUGACUUGUCAUCCCUUAAUGUGGUCUUUUCUCUGUCAAGCUUAACGGAGAAAUGACAGAAGGGCAUAAAUUCUAACAGACUUAGACCACAGGGGUUUAAAUCCGAAUUUUUUUACCACAGAGGUUAUCUUCCGAAUACCUUAUGACCACGGGGACCAUUUAUCCGAUUAGGCCCAAUUAUUAUGCCCAAUUUUGAAUUUCAAUCUAUUUAAUUUUUUUUUUUAAAUUGAUUUGGGGUUAUUGAAAUCAGCAAUGGAAAAAUCUGCCAGAAAACUCAAGAUUUCAGUAUUCAAAUUAUGGGUUCUCUCAGACUUCACAAUUGUUGGAUCUGGGUUCUCUUCAGACUUCACAAUCUGCCAGAAAACUCAAGGUUCGUCUCUCUCUCUCUCUCUCUCUCUCUCACCUUUUUCAAUUCAUGAUCGUAUUUCCCUUGCAUGAAUGCUGGAUAUGUUGCUUUUGACCAAUUCUGCACUCUUUUUGCUGCGUUGGCUUUCAUUUUCUUUGUUUGCUUUCGUUACCCAUUCUAAAUCUUUUCUUUCUUUGUUUGCUCCAAAAAGAUGGAUCCCAUCUGGGAAGGACUAUACAAGAUCAGCAGAGUAGGCGGAAAGGGUAAUUACAUCUUCGUCACCAUGAACGACAAAGAGAUCAAGAAGCAAUGGAACACCUAUAACCUGAGGAAGUACCAUGUGUGACCUCCCACUAUACCAAGACCCGAAGACUCAAGCAGCUCAACGGACGCCACCUCGCAAGACGGUGAUUAUCCAGUUGUUAUACAGUCUUUACAGUUAAGUUAUUCAUUCGUUUCACUUGUUUUUCAAUGAGGAAUUCAAAAAUAAUUUACAACCUAGCUCGACUACAUGUCUACAAUGACUUAUCUCACCUGCACUUCAAAAGAAGAUUGCGCCCAUCUUAGGGACUCAUCGCAGGAAUUACACCCCUUGAGGGACUAACCAUGCUCUCCAGUGUGAGAGGGUAAACUAAUUCCCCAACACCCACAUGGGUCUGCUCUCCAAAACGGGAGGAUAAACCCUACACUCUGAAUAUCCAGACAUGGAUAAGCCGGGCUGCCCUAGUAUAACUAAAUGCACAAUGGCUUGCGCCAUGAUUCCGUGAAGAAUUUUGGGUCUCUUAACCUAAUCCGUGAAGAACAGGGCCUUAGAGAUAGAGGGGACACAUAACGCAGCACGACCUAUGGACGGUUGCCCUGGAACCUUAAAGCUGCUACCGAGUGCACUAAGGUAGCCUACGGUUUCUAGAAGACUGCUUACAGCUUGCCCUUCGAGCAGUAAAGCCACACUAUACUUAUACAACUGCACAUUCUUGUGAAAGGUUAAACAAGCUAGCUAGCAUAUACGAAGUUGUUGUAAUCAUUGGAAUUUUAUUGUGCUUGCAAACAUUAUGGAUAGACAGUGGAUACAACAACCCAACAUAUGUGCAAUUAAAUAUUUGGAUGGAAUAAAUGACUUUAUUGAGUUCGCAUCCAGACACAACCCAAGGUCAACUAGAAUCCGGUGUCCGUGUAGGAGGUGUAACAACACGUUAAGGGAGACUUUUGAAAAUGUUCGAUAUCAUUUAGUAAGAAAUGGGAUGAUAAAGACCUAUACUACUUGGAAUCAUCAAGGGGAACAAUUAGACCAUGCUUCGUCAUCAAAUGUGACUAGAGUGGACAAUGUUGAACCUAAUGUGGAUCCUAACAAACAUGUUAUGGAUAUUCUAAAUUAUGCUUUUCCAUUUCCCUCAAUGAACACCAACCAGGAAGGGGAUGAUGACGUGCCUCCACCCAUGGACAAUGAAGCUUUCGAACAAUAUGAGAAAACUAUUAAAAAGUGCCAACCAAGAAUUAUACCCGGGAUGCGAAGACUUUUCGGUGCUCACGGCCAUUACAGAGUUGAUGCGUGGCAAAAUAAAGUAUCAAAUGUCGAACCAGUGUUUUAACUACUUUUUGGGGGUUUUUCAGAGAAUGUUUUCGAAGGAGAAUAGUUGCCGAAAUAUCAUAAAAGUGCACAUAAGGUGUUGAAUAGUAUAACAAACAUAACAGACAUAACAAACUUAAUCAAUCUAACAACCUCUCAACUUACUUGUUGACAUGGGACUCUAGUGAUGUGGCAAUACUUAUGUGGCAAUAAAUUCAACAUGAUACUUGAAGUAAAGCACACUGCUAGCUCUAGCUAACCUGACUAAGUCAAAAUUCCUUUAUUCUUGUUUUUUUUUUUUUUUUGGAUGAAUUAUUCUUUAUUCAAGAGUAUACAGAUAGUACCCAAGUUUUUCAUUUUCGCAUUUCCUUUUCCUUCUAGGGUAAUCCCAUGAAUCUAGAAAUGUAACAUAGAUAUCCCAAAUAAUUAAUUGAAACAGACCAGCUCGUAGUUGAGCCAAAUAAAGAACAUUACUGCAAAAACUGGAUUUUUGGUAUAUGGUGUAACCGAGCCAUGCAUGAAUUAUUAAGGAAGUAAUGUUAAAAAAGAAAAAGAAAGUUCUAUUUUGCAGAGAAUACUCACACAUUUCAGUAGCCAAUUUAUUAUAGUCUAGACUUUGACGGGUUGACCCAAGAAAAAGAAGUAAUCCCGAUAAUUUUAGUAGCCAAUUUAGUAGUCUCUGGACUUUGAAGUCCAUGGAAGAACUUGUCGUUGUGACUUUGGACAUAUGUAAAGAAUUUAUUUCCACAUUAGCUAAACUAUAUAUGGUGUACCCGUAAGAUGCAUCCAUGGAAGAACUUGUCGUUGUGACUUAGACAUAUAUAAAUUUUCUUUCCGCACUAGCUAUAAGAUAUAUAUAGCUGAUACUAAACUGAAUGUGUACAAGAGGUAAAGUUAAUAUCAUAGUUGUUAUGUCAGGAAAAAAGGAAAAAAGAAAAAAAGAAAAAAACAUAAGAAAUAUGGAGGCACAAUAAACCUCACUAGUCACAAUCUUUCGAGAAAAAAUUAAUCAACGAUAGGACUCUAGGAUGCCUUCAGAUGAGUGACUCUACAAAUGAAGUUUCCGUUGUAUUUACUAUUUUUUGGCUCUUAUUAAUAACUAUAGUUUUGAGUCUUUUGACCCUUGACCAACUUAUGGUUCACAUCUGUAUUUCUUUUAGAAAACUUUCUCAAAAUAAGGACUAAAUUAUAAAAGGGUUUUAAUCACAAAUGGUCCCUGACAUUGAUCAAACACAUCAUUUUGAUCACUGACAUUGAAAAUCAAUAGAAAUGGUCCCUGAGAUUGUCCAUCAUCCAUCAUUUUGGUCAUUCCGUUAAAAACUCCGUUAAGUGUCCCGGAGCUCUUGGCCGAAAGUUUGGGCAAUUUUCAAAGCUUCGUAACUCAAUCGUUUCUUAACCAAAUUCGACCCAUAAUAUAUCAAAAUGAAGAUAGGAAAGUGUAGAAUAAGAUUAUACCUAUUUGAAAGCCUAAUGGUUGCCGGAGAUGGCCUGAAAAUAGCCUCAAAGUUGACUGGUCCGAGUGAAAAUUGGAAAACUCGCCGGAAACUAGGUAAACUUUAAACGUUCAUAACUUCUUCAAUACUCAACGAAAUCAAGUGAUUCAAAAACAAAAAUCAUACUUCUCAACGAGACAAAGAGAAUGGUACCUUUUUCGAUGGCUAACUAGCCAUGGUUUGGCUGGAAAACGGCUAGAAAGUGGUUGUCUUGGUCUCGAGUUAGCCACUUUCGAGCCGUUUCCGGCCAAACCACGGAGAUUUAGCGUAAAAAAAGUUACCAAUCUUUUCGUCUCAUCGAGAAGUAUGAUUUUUAUUUUUGAAUCACUUGAUUUCGUUGAGUAUUGAAGAAGUUAUGAACAUUUAAAGUUUACCCAGUUUCUGGCAAGUUUUCCAAUUUUCGCUCGGACCAGUCAACUUUGAGGCUAUUUUCCGGCCAUCCCCGGCAACUAUUGGGCUUCCAAAUAGGUAUAAUCUUAUUUUACACUUUCCUAUCUUCAUUUUGAUAUAUUAUGGGUUGAAUUUGGUUACGAAACAAUUGAGUUACGAAGCUUUGAAAAUUGCCCAAACUUCCGGCCAAGAGCUAUUGGACACUUAACGGAGUUUUUAACGGAAUGACCAAAAUGAUGGACGGUGGACAAUCUCAGGGACCAUUUCUAUUGAUUUUCAAUGUCAAGGACCAAAAUGAUGUGUUUGAUCAAUGUCAGGGACCAUUUGUGAUUAAAACCCAUUAUAAAAAGAAGCAUCUCCAUUUUGAGGAAUCUCACAUAUACUUCUCAAACCAUCCCUUGCUUAGACUUUUCUUUCUGUUGAGAAAUCCCUAGCUUAGACCUAAUGCUGAAUUGUCGAUGUUAAGAGUGGUAAUACAUGCACGAUGUAAUAGUGGAGAUUAAUUUGACAAGUGAAGAAAUAAGUCAUGAUGAUAGCCAAAAGAAACAGUCAAAAGUUAGUUAGAAAAGCUUACCUCUGCAAUUUCCUUCUACCUUUAUUUAUAGAUGUUAGUUUUCCUAAAGUGUAACUAUAAAUACCAAUGUAACUUAUCAUUUCAUGAAAUCAUAUUUUCUUUCUUCUUCUGUUUUCCUUGUAUGGUGAGAGCUUGAAAUUAAGAAAAGUAGUAACAGUAUAUGAUUUAUGCUUGAGAGGGUACAACUAUGAGUACUUAGUGAAGUCAUCAACAAAAAUGACAUAAAAUCAAAAAUCACUAACAUAAUAGUGGAGCUGAUCCCCAAACAUCAGAGUGUACUAAUCCUAAAGGCAUAGAAGUAUUACAUAGAGAAACAGUGAAAGGCAAUCUAGCACAUUUGCCUAAAACGCAAUUGGAACAAAAAAAAUUGUUGAACUAAAUUAGAAAUAGGUAAAGCAGACUUCAAAAACACAAAGCUUAAAGUCCUGAACAUUGGAUGUCCCAAAUAUUGAUGUCAAAUCUAAGAAGAAGCCUUUAUUGAAGAAUUAACAAAAAUCCUUGAAGGAGACAAAGAAAAUGCACGAAAAGGAUUAAGACUUCUGCCAGUAGGACCUCUAAAAAGCAUCCUCCCCGUAAUAGGAUCUUUGACAAAGAAGUUAAAAGAAUUUAAAGUCAAUGACCACCAAUUAUUAAGUAGAAACAUAUUGGCAAAGAAAGAUCAUGUUUCAAAUGAGGAACAUUACAUUCUUUAAAUGAAAAGUAGAAUGUGGUGUUUUAAGUAAGGAAGAACCAUACUAGAGAAUGGAUAGACAUUGACCAUCACUAAUGUAAACCUUGUCAGGGCCAAAAUUAGACUUGGCAUUCGUGUCAUGUUUCCAUUGUUCAUGUAAUUUUCAUGUCAUACCCGAUAUCUUCAGGAGUCAUGUCGUGUAGCACUAGUUAAAAUGAACGGGUAAUAUGACCUGACCCGUUACCAAUUAAAGAAAAUAUAUUUUAAACCAAUAAAUAAUCAAAUGACAAACAUAGUACUAAAUUAGUGUAUACAUACCACAUUAUCACAUAAAUAUUACUUUAAAACAUAAAAAUGAAUUUGUCUUUCUAGUAUUACAUAUCAUAAAUAAGAGUCUAAUGAAACAACAUUAGUAUAUUACUACAAGCAGUUGAUUGUCGUUUACAUUUACACUUCAUUCUUCUCAUCAAAUUUUGUAUUUUUUUUUUGGUUUUUUGUUUUUUUUUUCAAAUUUUCUUUUUUGAAAACGUGAUCUUUUAGAUGAUACAAGAAGAUAAACGGUACGGAUCAUUGAUAUUACGUUCAAAGUUUUAUUGUUAGUGAAAAUUGCUUGAUUAUAAAGCCUCUACAAACUAUAUAACAUUAACUCAUAUUUCAGUUAACCGUAAAUAUCAAAAUGUGAUAUAAACGAUCCGAACUGUUCAUUUUUCUAUAUCCGCUAAAAGAUCAUGUUUUAAAAAAAGAAAAUCUAAAAAAUAAAAUUCAAUGAGAAGAAUAAAGUAUAAAUGACAAUCGACGGUCAAGUAUGAAUCUAUAGGAUGGACGAGUGGCACUGGCUAUAAGAUGGACAAGUGGCACUAGCUCUGCGGUUAUUUUCAAAAUUUAUAAAUUAUGGAAAAGUAUGUCUUCCGAGGUAAAGCAGUUGGAUGAGUGAAGCAAUUUUCCAUCGAGAAUAAUUUUUUUUUCAUUUUCAAUAUAAUUGUACGAACAAUGUAGUUUUAGUAAUUAAAUAAUUUUUUUUAAAUAUCAAUAUAAUAAAAUUUGGUUAAUUAAAUUUAAACAUAUAUAUUUUAAUAUUACAUCAACCGUGCCCACAAUCAUCGGAUUGAUGUUAUACAUUUUUUUUAUGUUAAUAAAGCUUACCCAGUGACACAGGUCGUCGGGUUAAGAUUUGAAAUUUUAAUUUUUUAAAUUAACAAAGCUUGGCCAACAAAUUCGUCGUCGGGAAACAUUUAGGUUUUAUAUUUUUUAUUAAAAUUUUAAAUUUUGCCCGAGGAAAGGAUUUCGUUGGGCAACAAUUUUUCGCCGGGUCUCUUUGGUCAACGCGAGUUUGCAUGACGAACGUUCGUUGGUAAAUUCAUCGGGGCAAGUGCAUUUGCCCGACAAAUACUAUGGCGUCAGGUCAAAUGUCUAGUGACGAGUUUUACGCGACGAGUUUUCCCCAACGGAGAUCUGUCGCCUUAAAUUUUAGGAGACGAACUCCUACUUUACCGGACGAAUGUUUUUGGUUUGGCUAGUGGUGAUGUUUUGUUUUGUUUUUUAUUUUUAUUUUUUAUUUUUUUGGUAGUGUGUUAUGUCAGGGAGAAUAGAAAAAAAAAACCAUAAGAAAUAUGUUGGGGUAUAGUAUGUGAGGUGUAUAUUCAACAGUUUGUGAGAUGUGAAUAAAACAACUCAUAACCAAUUACACCCGAACACUAAGUUGGAUAUUAAAUUAAGGAGAAAUUAGAUUCUCAUCAUUCUUUUUACUACUUCAUUGAUUAAAAUCCUAUUCAUUUUCAAUUUUUGAUCAAGGUCCUUGGUAUUAAUAAAUCAUUCAUUAUUUCAAUAAUAAAAUAUUUUUUUAUUUCAAAAUAUAUUCAUUUAAUGUUAAAAAUGUUAUAUUUAUGACUAAAUUUUUAUCAUAUAUUUUUAGUUUUAGUUUGUACCCAUUUUUAAUUUGGACCAAUUUUCUUUUCAAUUUUAAUUUGUACCCAUAUAUUAAUUUCUUUUUGUGCCCAUAUUUUUUUAAAGUUUAUUUGUAUUUGUACCCAUAUUUUUUUUAUUUGUACUUUUUAUUUUGCUAAAUGCACCCAUGCUAAUUAUAUGUACCCAUUCAUGUAAAACUUUUUAAUCUUAAAAUGUACUCAUUCUUAAAUAUACCAAUUUGUUAUAUGUAAAGUGUACCAUUUUUUUUUCUAAUCCAUUUUUAAACUUAUAUGGGUACAUUCUUUUUUCUUUGAUUUUAAAAUGUACCCGUGUCAAGUUUAAUAAAAAAAAUUUACUAAUGUUAUUAAGCCUGAUAUCUUUUUUUUUUUUUUUUUUUUUUGUGAUUUUGAAGAAUGUACCCAUGUUUUGAUACAAUAAUUUUUUUGGUUAAUUUUGAUGAAUGUACCAAUGUUUAUACACACACACACACACACAAUUGUAUAUUUAUAUUUUAAUAUUUUUAAUCCCACAAAUUAUGGUUUUUUAUUUAAAAUCUCAUUUAUAUAAACAACUAAAAUUUCUAAUUUUUAAUUUUAAAAAAAUAGUAACGUACAUAGAAAUAAAUUAUCACAUUAAUUUCAGAGACCUCGAUCAAAAAUUAAAAACUAACAAGGUUUCAAUAAAAAAAUAUUCAUGGCUAAGGACCGCAUCCAAAAUCUCCCUUAAAUUAAAUAUUUUUAUAUUAUACGGUGGGUUCGGUUUUGGUUCGGUUACAGAUAUUAAGAACCAAAACAAAACCAUUUUUUAGCUUGGGGUUCGGUUUUGGUUCGGUUACAGAUAUUAAGAACCAAAACAAAACCAUUUUUUAGCUUGGGGUUCGGUUUCAAACUCAACAUUUUAAAUCCACAAUAAUCGAACCAUUCGGUGCAAUUUGAUUUAGUCAAUGUUUUGGUUUUAGUUUUCGUUUCCGAUUGCCCACCCCUAGAACUUGUCGUUGUGACUUGACAUACAUAAAAUUUCUUUCCACAUAUAUAGAUAAUUUCUUUCCAUAUAUAAACUGACACACCCUGACUGAGAUCAAGGCAUGCUGGCCGUCACGUGAGAGUGACGUAGCCAUGUGCACAGUGCGGAAGCAAUAAUAAUAAGAAUUAUAUGAAUAAUUAAAAACCAAAUUACUAGAGUGCACUACUAAACAGGAAGUGAUAGGAGUUAGUUACAACAGUAAACACUCCUAUUCAGAGCAUAAAGUCUUGGUGCAGUCCAGUAGGACAAGUACUAGUUAAACAGUACCAGGAAUGUCCUACUAUUAUUUAGAUAAGUCAGAACUACCGACGUCCUCAAGCCACCAACAGUAAGCUUACUUUAAACCUGGAGUAGUGCGAAACAGAAAACGUGAGUGGGCAAAAACAAAUGUUUUACAAAAUCAUUUCAUUUAUCAACAUAUCUAACCCCUCGCUGUAAAAUAUGUAUAAUUUUUCCCGGAAUCAAUAUAUAAGCAUAUACAUAAUAUAUAUAUGAAAUCAUAUCAAUUUAAUUCAUUCAUGUUUCACAUAAUCAUAAUCAUAUGCAUGCCAUGCCAAGAUAUAGCAGAGUGAGCAAUUCAGGUAAAAAUAAUUUCAUAGAAAUAUGAUAUGUUAGCCAGAACUCCUGUGGUAGUCAGUAUGGCUGAAUUCAUAGCUCAAACUCAAUCUAGCAGAAGUCACUACUAUGACCUAUACAGCAAUAUACUGCACAUAAGUCGGAACCACUGAAAAGGGGUCUGUACGACAAGAUUGGAUGUAAUAUAAUUAUGCUCAAUUUUACUAUCUCAUAAUAGCCAGGCGAUAAAUCGCUAGUCACCUACGAGUCGGAACUAUAAAUAAGGUCUGUACGACAAGACUGUGCACUUAAGUUAGAUCAAAUAUGAGCAUAUAGUGCGGGAGGUGACGUAAAUAAACAGACUUGUACUUCAUAUCUCUGGCUAAAUCACAAUCACCCUAGGUGCAGUUUUAUGAGCUUAACAUUAUUCAAUCACAUAUCACAUCAUCGAUGAUUCACAUAACCAAACAUAACUUACCUGA